UACGUAGGGACCAAGCGUUGUCCGGAAUCAUUGGGUGUAAAGAGCGUGUAGGCGGCUUGUUAAGUCUUGCGUGAAAUCUCGGGGCUCAACCCCGAGCGGUCGUGAGAAACUGGCAGGCUAGAGUGCGGGAGAGGAGAGUGGAAUUCCUGGUGUAGCGGUGAAAUGCGCAGAUAUCAGGAAGAACACCCGUGACGAAGGCGGCUCUCUGGAACGCAACUGACGCUGAGACGCGAAAGCGUGGGGAGCAAACAGG
rnacentral:rRNA from 1 species